rnacentral:rRNA from 1 species
CGCGAGCUGGGUUUAGAACGUCGUGAGACAGUUCGGUCCCUAUCUGCCGUGGGCGCUGGAGAAUUGAGGGGGGCUGCUCCUAGUACGAGAGGACCGGAGUGGACGCAUCACUGGUGUUCGGGUUGUCAUGCCAAUGGCAUUGCCCGGUAGCUAAAUGCGGAAGAGAUAAGUGCUGAAAGCAUCUAAGCACGAAACUUGCCCCGAGAUGAGUUCUCCCUGACUCCUUGAGAGUCCUGAAGGAACGUUAAAGACGAUGACGUUGAUAGGUCGGGUGUGUAAGCGUAGCGAUACGUUGAGCUAACCGAUACUAAUGAACCGUGAGGCUUAACCUUACAACGCCGAAGCUGUU